rnacentral:rRNA from 1 species
AACGCUAGCUACAGGCUUAACACAUGCAAGUCGAGGGGAAACGACAUCGAAAGCUUGCUUUUGAUAGGCGUCGACCGGCGCACGGGUGAGUAACGCGUAUCCAACCUGCCCACCACUUGGGGAUAACCUUGCGAAAGUAAGACUAUUACCCGAUGAUAUCUCUAGACGACAUCUGAAAGGGAUUAAAGAUUUAUCGGUGAUGGAUGGGGAUGCGUCUGAUUAGCUUGUUGGCGGGGUAACGGCCCACCAAGGCUACGAUCAGUAGGGGUUCUGAGAGGAAGGUCCCCCACAUUGGAACUGAGACACGGUCCAAACUCCUACGGGAGGCAGCAGUGAGGAAUAUUGGUCAAUGGGCGAGAGCCUGAACCAGCCAAGUAGCGUGCAGGAUGACGGCCCUAUGGGUUGUAAACUGCUUUUAUAAGGGAAUAAAGUGAGCCUCGUGAGGCUUUUUGCAUGUACCUUAUGAAUAAGGACCGGCUAAUUCCGUGCCAGCAGCCGCGGUAAUACGGAAGGUCCGGGCGUUAUCCGGAUUUAUUGGGUUUAAAGGGAGCGUAGGCCGGAGAUUAAGCGUGUUGUGAAAUGUAGAUGCUCAACGUCUGCACUGCAGCGCGAACUGGUUUCCUUGAGUACGCACAAAGUGGGCGGAAUUCGUGGUGUAGCGGUGAAAUGCUUAGAUAUCACGAAGAACUCCGAUUG